rnacentral:rRNA from 1 species
AAGUCGAGGGGUAGAGGAAGCUUGCUUCCUUGAGACCGGCGCACGGGUGCGUAACGCGUAUGCAAUCUACCUUUUACAGAGGGAUAGCCCAGAGAAAUUUGGAUUAAUACCUCAUAGUAUAUAUCAUUCGCAUGUUUGGUAUAUUAAAGUUCCAACGGUAAAAGAUGAGCAUGCGUCCCAUUAGUUAGUUGGUAAGGUAACGGCUUACCAAGACGAUGAUGGGUAGGGGUCCUGAGAGGGAGAUCCCCCACACUGGUACUGAGACACGGACCAGACUCCUACGGGAGGCAGCAGUGAGGAAUAUUGGUCAAUGGACGCAAGUCUGAACCAGCCAUGCCGCGUGCAGGAAGACGGUCCUAUGGAUUGUAAACUGCUUUUGUACGGGAAGAAACCCUCCGACGUGUCGGAGCUUGACGGUACCGUAAGAAUAAGCAUCGGCUAACUCCGUGCCAGCAGCCGCGGUAAUACGGAGGAUGCGAGCGUUAUCCGGAAUCAUUGGGUUUAAAGGGUCCGUAGGCGGUUUAAUAAGUCAGUGGUGAAAUCUGGUCGCUCAACGAUCAAACUGCCAUUGAUACUGUUAGACUUGAAUUACUGUGAAGUAACUAGAAUAUGUAGUGUAGCGGUGAAAUGCUUAGAUAUUACAUGGAAUACCAAUUGCGAAGGCAGGUUACUAACAGUGGAUUGACGCUGAUGGACGAAAGCGUGGGGAGCGAACAGGAUUAGAUACCCUGGUAGUCCACGCCGUAAACGAUGGAUACUAGUUGUUUGGAUUUAUCUGAGUGACUAAGCG